rnacentral:lncRNA from 1 species
UGUAGAGUGAAAUUGUAUAUAUCGUUCUCAUAAGAAUCUAUGAAUUGAAUGCCUAUUAAAGCUAGUUAUAGACUCGUAAAUUGAUAGGAGUUCAAGUAAAGCAAUUAAUAUAUGAUAAUAUACUGUAAAUUCAAGUGCAAUACUAUGUUUUUUUUUACAAUAUAAUAUAUGCAAGUGCAACUACUAGGUUCCUUUCAUUAGAGAUAUUCAUUCGGGCGCGUCAAACACUAAACGUGGAUAUACAUCACUCAGUUGAAGUUCGAGCUUUGAUUCGCCAUAUCGGAAAAUUUCACUCAUUCAACUAAACUCAAUUUCUAUUGGUUUAUAUAUUUACUUACAGACCUAUCCUAAAACUUUUGGUGUCUUUGAUAAAUCAAUAAAUUGUGUCAGUUUAAUUAGUCAAAUACUUUUCUUCUUAUAUUUUUUGUUGCAAAAGAUUUAUUUAUAAAUAAGAUUCUCUAAAAAAAUAUUUUCAAAAGAAUUAAUUA